AUCUAUACUGCUUUCCAAAAUGGCUGUACUACUUUAUGUUUCUACAAACAGUGUAUGAGCAUUCCCCUUUCUCUACAUUCUUGACAACAUUUGUUUUGUGGGAACAGUUUAUUCUCAGAGUGCUUUGAUUUAAGCUUACAAGGAGAAAUGCCCAGUUAUGGAGCAAUUUCCCGGAAUAUUCUGUUUUAGCUGCCUGGCAGUCCUUUGUGCUAAAUGAUAAUGGCCCACAUCUGGAGAAGCCUGGUGGGGGUCUCCCUUGGGAACUGGAGUAAAGUUCACUCUUGCUAUGCAAAUAGGCUGGUGGCAUUUUGCCCCUGCCUCAGAGAUCUAUGGAACUUUGAACAUGAAAGAGAUGAUUUAGGGUAUAAGAAUAGGUGAAGAGGAGGACAGCUGUGGUCUUUUGGACCAUACCAGCCACCAUCAGGAAUACCCUGAUUAGAGAAGAAGGACUUGGAUGGGACUUCCAGGCAGGGGAUUGAAUCAUUUCUGGGACCUGUUAAGUAAAGUAAUUGAAAGCUUCUGCUUUGAUUUUUUUUUUUUAAUUUCAGGAAGCUACUUGAACAGAGAGUAAUUAUUACUGUUAAUAGCAAUAAUUUCCCUAUAAUCUGGUUACAUGUCCUAUUUCAUUUUAAUGAUCAGAGCAGC
rnacentral:lncRNA from 10 species